GCUCCAACCGCCUCUCCUCCGCUCCCCUCCCCUCUCACGAACCCUAGUGCCGCCACACCCCGUGCAGCGGCCGCAUCCCUUCCCGCUCUCCACUCGCCGCGCAGCCGCCGCAUCCCUGCCCGCUCUCCACCCACCUCAGUCGCCCCCUCCCACACCUCUCCUCUGCCCCGAGACCCCCAGCCACACAACCCCAACUCCGGCGGUCUCCUCUCCCUCCAGCGCCGCCGCUCUACCCUCUUCCGUGACCCUCACCUUCCUUCCUCUUCAAAGGAAGGGAUGGGAAGGGAAGGGGAGGGGAGGCCCCAGAUCAAGCGGAGCGACACAGCGGCACCGGCACGGGUGCGCCGUCGUCUACCUGGUCCUCGAACCGGCCGUUCCCCUACUGACCAUGGCCUCCUCCCCCUCUCUCUGUAUCUCCCACACGGCGGCGCGGUGCAACCGGCGACGAUGGCUUUCUGGCAGGCACGCCACUUCCUGUUUUGCGGCGUGUGCGGCACCCUCCUCGACUUCAACUCCCAAGCAUCCUUGUGUGUUGUGUCUGAAAAUCCCGUGGCUAAUGCAAGACAUGCCCCUUGUUUUCUCAAAAUCAAUGAAUGGUUCCAGGCAAAUAACUAGAUGGCUUAAAAUGGAGGCUUGCAUGCCCAAGGCAGGUGGUUAAGGCCCUCUUUAGUUGGUGUGGUAGUGGUGAGUGGAAUGCACGAUGCAGCAGCCUGGAGAAGUGGCCAACACGGCUUAGGAAGCGCCCCACCUGUGAAGCGAUACAUCUGAUGCCAACAUACCAAGGGACUUGAACUCAUGGACAAGGCAUCAUCCUUAUUGCAAGAUAUAAUCCUGGCCGGCGGAAGUACAGUGACACAAAGAACCCGGGCGUCGUCUGCUUCCUGCAUCGGCAAGCAAGCGGCGGAGCUUCCAACGGGCAGAAAUGCAUGCGUGUUGGACUUAUGACACAACUGAACUACAACAGUGAGUUCACCUAAGUAUCUUGAUGUGUCCUCGUAUAUGUUUGGCUUUUUGUUGGAAUGUUGUUGGUUGUCCUCUGAAGCGACACUUCUGAUGCCAACAUACCAAGGUGAGCUUCACCUACUUCCCCACUCUGUAUAUAUGCAAGCCUGUGUGAUGUACUCUGCUUCUUCCUCCCCUUUUAAUUAAUUAAUCUCUUACUAAGCAGAGCAUGCUCUUUAGGUUAAUAGCACAAACGAUAUAGUUGAAUUAGUCUUCUUUUACUGGUGGUUUUUGGUAACGACUUACUAUGCUUCACAUAUUUGGAAAAGCCUAUGUAAUUACGUUUCUGCUGUCAGAUUGUAUACCAUGUAAAUUACAGGAGCACAAUGUACCUUUGCCUUCAAAUACGAAAUUACUUGCGAGCAACUGAAUGCCAUCUAAAAUUCAUAGCUACAAAAGAAAGGCCUUGAUAUGCAAAUAACUCUCAUUUUAAAUCGUGUAGAGUGCAGGUACCAACUUGUCCUGCUUCAAUGAUCUGUGGCUCCGAAGGGAAUUUACUACUAGGAACAUAUGCAAUGUUUGGUUAUCUAUGUCCAUCUAACUGUCAAAAACAUCUGUGGAAUGCAAAAUGGACUGUGUAAUACUUCUUGAAGAGGCAAUGCUUGUUAUCUGUAUGCAAGUUUCUAACCGCAUUAGCAGGAAAAAGUUUGGUUUCUGUUAGUGUAAUCUUCAAUAUAUCAUUUUUGCUGCUUGGAACCGGACCUUCGAUCUUCUGUUCCGCAUGAUAUUUAUUCUCCGGUGAAGUAGUAAAAUAAAUGCAUAGUCUGCCGGCCCUCGCUAAGAGCCCAGCUGAUUUAAAAUGUGCCAGUGUGCUCCUUCUAUAUCUACAUGUGAUGCACAUUUAUGCCUGACCAAUCCAUUGGAUUGAAUUUGUACUGCAGGUUUUACUAAAAAAAUCCAUUACCAUCACAAGUUGUAUGUGGCACAGGUGCUUAUUUAGGCAAUGCGUAGUCUUAAUGUGAGGAGGUGCCGAGAUACACGAGGGGUUGGAGCAGGACUGCAGGAGGAGGCGAGGAUAUGUUUUGUUUCAGAUCCACCUGAUUAAUCCCAAAUUUUGCAAGUUUGGAUUACUCUGAGCAAUUCUCUCCGGAGUUGAGAGUACUCUGAGCACUGCCCAUAGCGCGCCACGACGACUGUUUGCACAUCAGGAGCCUCGCGACGCAGUCCUCAUAUGACCACAUCCUCAGAAGACAAUAACAAGUCUGCUUAUUCAUGCAUGCACACCCUCAGAAGACCACAAUCGGCCUGAGAAAUCUUCUCUGCUCAAACUAUGUAUGAUUAUCUACAUGAGGCAUCUCUGCCUAUGUUGCUUGCUUUUUGAAAGCAUUGUAAAUGGCUAUCAAAACUUCUUAUAACGCUAUGUAUCAGCAUCGUACCUAAGUAUAUAUUUCCUUGUGACUAAAUA